rnacentral:RNase_P_RNA from 1 species
GGCCGGGCCGCCGCGUGUCAUGGCGCCGCGAGGUAUUGACAUGAGGAAAGUCCGGGCAUCGCAGGGCAGGAUAACGGAUAACGUCCGCCGAAGGAAACUUCCGGGAAAGUGCAACAGAAAUAGACUACCAACGCCCACGGGCACGGUACAGAUGGAAAGGCGAGGUAAAAGCUCACCGGCACGACAGGCAACUGUGUGCAAAUGUAAACCCUAUCCGAUGCAACGCCUCCACGCGGGGAUCUCCUUCGGGGGAUCAUGCCGGCCCGGCAGAACCGCGGAGGCGGCACAGAGGCGGCUGGCGACAACCGUCCCAGAUAGAUGGCGGCUGCGGAGCUCGCUCCGUACAGAACCCGGCUUACACGCCUGCC